UACGUAGGGUGCGAGCGUUAUUCGGAAUUACUGGGCGUAAAGCGUGCGUAGGCGGCUUUGUAAGUCAGAUGUGAAAUCCCCGAGCUUAACUUGGGAACUGCAUUUGGGACUGCAAGGCUAGAGUACGGCAGAGGGGGGUAGAAUUCCUGGUGUAGCAGUGAAAUGCGUAGAUAUCAGGAGGAAUACCGAUGGCGAAGGCAGCCCCCUGGGUCGAUACUGACGCUCAUGCACGAAAGCGUGGGGAGCAAACAGG
rnacentral:rRNA from 1 species